rnacentral:rRNA from 1 species
CAAAGGAGCAAUCCGCUGAAAGAUGGGCUCGCGUCCGAUUAGGUAGUUGGCGGGGCAACGGCCCACCAAGCCGACGAUCGGUAGCCGGACUGAGAGGUUGAACGGCCACAUUGGGACUGAGACACGGCCCAGACUCCUACGGGAGGCAGCAGUGAGGGAUAUUGGUCAAUGGGGGAAACCCUGAACCAGCAACGCCGCGUGAGGGAAGACGGUUUUCGGAUUGUAAACCUCUGUCCUCUGUGAAGAUGAUGACGGUAGCAGAGGGGGAAGCUCCGGCUAACUACGUGCCAGCAGCCGCGGUAAUACGUAGGGAGCAAGCGUUGUCCGGAUUUACUGGGUGUAAAGGGUGCGUAGGCGGCUUUGCAAGUCAGAAGUGAAAUCCAUGGGCUUAACCCAUGAACUGCUUUUGAAACUGCAGAGCUUGAGUGGAGUAGAGGUAGGCGGAAUUCCCGGUGUAGCGGUGAAAUGCGUAGAGAUCGGGAGGAACACCAGUGGCGAAGGCGGCCUGCUGGGCUCUAACUGACGCUGAGGCACGAAAGCGUGGGUAGCAAACAGGAUUAGAUACCCUGGUAGUCCACGCUGUAAACGAUGAUUACUAGGUGUGGGUGGACUGACCCCAUCC